rnacentral:rRNA from 1 species
UACGUAGGGUGCGAGCGUUAAUCGGAAUUACUGGGCGUAAAGUGUGCGCAGGCGGCCGAGCAAGUCGAGUGUGAAAGCCCCGGGCUUAACUUGGGAAUUGCGCUCGAAACUACUUGGCUGGAGUGUGGCAGAGGAAGGUGGAAUUCCGAGGUGUAGCGGUGAAAUGCGUAGAGAUCUGGAGGAACACCGAUGGCGAAGGCAGCCUUCUCGGGCCAACACUGACGCUCAUGCACGAAAGCGUGGGGAGCAAACAGGAUU